UAGCUGCGCUGACGGACAGGUAAUGUUUGUUAGGACACCUACCCAAGAAGGAUGGCUGGAACAGGGCCUCUGGGCACCUGAACCUCUCAUUGCCAAUGGUGA